rnacentral:rRNA from 1 species
UACAGAGGGUGCAAACGUUGUUCGGAAUUACUGGGCGUAAAACGCGUGUAGGCGGCUAAGUAAGUCGGGCGUGAAAUCCCACGGCUCAACCGUGGAAGUGCACUCGAAACUGCAUAGCUAGAGUCCUGGAGAGGAAGGUGGAAUGCUUGGUGUAGAGGUGAAAUUCGUAGAUAUCAAGCGGAACACCGGUGGCGAAGGCGGCCUUCUGGACAGUGACUGACGCUGAGACGCGAAAGCGUGGGGAGCAAACAGG